rnacentral:rRNA from 1 species
GAUGAACGCUAGCUACAGGCUUAACACAUGCAAGUCGAGGGGCAGCAUGGAAGAAGCUUGCUUCUUCUGAUGGCGACCGGCGCACGGGUGCGUAACGCGUAUCAAACCUGCCUCAUACUCGGGGAUAGCCUUGCGAAAGUAAGAUUAAUACCCGAUGUUGUUAUGUUACCGCAUGGUGAUAUAACCAAAGAUUUAUCGGUAUGAGAUGGUGAUGCGUCCGAUUAGGUAGUAGGCGGGGUAACGGCCCACCUAGCCUUCGAUCGGUAGGGGUUCUGAGAGGAAGGUCCCCCACACUGGAACUGAGACACGGUCCAGACUCCUACGGGAGGCAGCAGUGAGGAAUAUUGGUCAAUGGACGAAAGUCUGAACCAGCCAAGUAGCGUGCAGGAUGACGGCCCUCCGGGUUGUAAACUGCUUUUAGUUGGGAAUAAAAAGAGGACGUGUCCUCUAUUGUAUGUACCUUCAGAAAAAGGACCGGCUAAUUCCGUGCCAGCAGCCGCGGUAAUACGGAAGGUCCAGGCGUUAUCCGGAUUUAUUGGGUUUAAAGGGAGCGUAGGCGGAUUAUUAAGUCAGUGGUGAAAGACGGUGGCUCAACCAUCGUUAGCCAUUGAAACUGGUAGUCUUGAGUGCAGACAGGGAUGCUGGAACUCGUGGUGUAGCGGUGAAAUGCUUAGAUAUCACGAUGAACUCCGAUCGCGAAGGCAGGUGUCCGGGCUGCAACUGACGCUGAGGCUCGGAAGUGUGGGUAUCAAACAGG